CCCCUCUCGGGGUCACACCUGGAGAGUUGUUUCCAGUCCUCUACCAGUCUCGACUAAGGGAGGGAGAGUCAAGCAGAGGCCUACCCAUUCCAUUCCUAGCUUGGGCAGUGGCUAGCGAGUGGAAGGCCAUCUGCCGCAAGU